rnacentral:rRNA from 1 species
CCUACGGGCGGCAGCAGUGGGGAAUAUUGCACAAUGGGGGAAACCCUGAUGCAGCGACGCCGCGUGAGUGAAGAAGUAAUUCGUUAUGUAAAGCUCUAUCAGCAGGGAAGAAAAUGACGGUACCUGAGUAAGAAGCCCCGGCUAACUACGUGCCAGCAGCCGCGGUAAUAAGUAGGGGGCAAGCGUUAUCCGGAUUUACUGGGUGUAAAGGGAGCGUAGUCGGCAGUGCAAGUCUGGAGUGAAAGGCGGGGGCUCAACCCCCGGACUGCUCUGGAAACUGUACGGCUUGAGUGCAGGAGAGGUAAGUGGAAUUCCUAGUGUAGCGGUGAAAUGCGUAGAUAUUAGGAGGAACACCAGUGGCGAAGGCGGCUUACUGGACUGUAACUGACGUUGAGGCUCGAAAGCGUGGGGAGCAAACAGGAUUAGAUACCCGAGUAGUC